UCUCCGUAGGUGAACCUGCGGAGGGAUCAUUAACACGUUCCAUACCAAAUUAUCAACCCAUACUGUGAAGCUUUGUAUUCUGCCUGCUGCCUGCUCUUGUGACGGUGUGCGCUGUGUAAUCCAGGAUGAAGGUGAGAGGUUAUGUCUCUCAUACGGAUCGAGCGCGCGUUUGAUAGCCGACGUAUCGUUGCUGUCAGCCGUCCGAGUGCAUGGUUAGGCCCACCAUAUAUACAGUCAGUCGUGAAUCAUCGACGGCUGGCCGUAUAUCCACACGCCCUUGCUUGGACGCUGGCCUUCAUUGGCUCCGCCCCUGCAAUGCAACCCCAUUGACCCUUGAUCAACCUGUCCUCAGUCGAUUGUGUCGAGCUUCGGCUCUGAGUGCGACUGACGGAUGCUUAGCUUGAUGCUAACAUGGGCUACUACAGAAAUGUAGAGUCUUAUAAUCAAAAUAUAGCACAACUCUUAGCAAUGGAUAUCUUGGUUCUC
rnacentral:misc_RNA from 1 species